GGCAUUCAGAAACUGGCUAAUCAGUACUUAAAGAAAGAGUGGCCUGGAAUAAAGGCGGAUGAGCGAAAUGAUUUUAGGAGCAUGUAUCCCGUGUGGAAAUCGUUUCUCGAAGGCACGAUGCAGGUGGCCCAGUCGAGGCUCAAUAUCUGCGAAAACUACAAGAACCUGAUUUCUGAGCCCGCCAGAGCCGUGAAGUGUUUCAAAGACCAGCAGCUGAAAAAGUGCGUCGACCACCUGACCAGGAUCCAGGCCGAACUGCAAGAGACGGUGAAAGAUCUGGCCAAG